rnacentral:tRNA from 1 species
AGUUAAAUAAUUUAAAUUAAAAUAUUAAUUUUGUAAAUUAAAUAUAUCUUAUAGUUUUUAACUU